rnacentral:pre_miRNA from 1 species
AGUGGAAUAGCUGGGUCAGAUGGUGAUUCCAAUCCUAGUUUUCCAAGGAUUCUCCAUACUGCUUUCCAUAUUGGCUGCACCAAUUUGAAGUCCUACCAGCAAU